AAUACGUUCCCGGGCCUUGUACACACCGCCCGUCACGCCAUGGAAGUUGGUAGAGCCUGAAGAUACCCCUCGGGGCGUUUAUGGCAUUACCGAUGACUGGGGUG
rnacentral:rRNA from 1 species